UAUCAACGGCAUCACGAGGAUCCUACUGUCUCCCCCCUCUAAUCAGUGAAACUGAUCUCCCCGUGAAGAAGCGGGGAUAUACAUAUAAGACGAGAAGACCCCAUGGAGCUUUAAACCUGACAGCACCCGCUCAUUCUAUACCCCAUUAUUUGCCCGACCCCUGUCUGCUCAGUUUUAGGUUGGGGUGACCACGGAGUAUAAAAUAACCUCCAUGAAGAAGGGGAUAUUUCCCUUAUUAGAGAACUACACUUCCAAGAACUAAUAAAUUAAUUUUCAAUGACCCGAUACCCGAUAAUCGAUCAACGAACCAAGUUACCCUGGGGAUAACAGCGCAAUCCACCCUGAAAGCCCUUAUUAACAGGUGGGUUUACGACCUCGAUGUUGGAUCAGGGUAUCCCAGUGGUGCAGCAGCUACUGAGGGUUCGUUUGUUCAACGAUUAA
rnacentral:rRNA from 1 species